rnacentral:rRNA from 1 species
GACGAACGCUGGCGGCGUGCCUAAUACAUGCAAGUAGAACGCUGAGGACUGGUGCUUGCACUGGUCUAAGGAGUUGCGAACGGGUGAGUAACGCGUAGGUAACCUACCUCAUAGCGGGGGAUAACUAUUGGAAACGAUAGCUAAUACCGCAUGACAAUAGGGUACACAUGUACCCUGGUUUAAAAGGGGCAAACGCUUCACUAUGGGGUGAGCCCGCGUAAGAUUAGGUAGUUGGUGAGGUAAAGGCUCACCAAGCCGACGAUCUUUAGCUGGUCUGAGAGGAUGAUCAGCCACACUGGGACUGAGACACGGCCCAG